rnacentral:tRNA from 1 species
UUCCGACAUAGCUCAGUCGGUAGAGCAGCGGACUGUUAAUCCGCGGGUCGUAGGUUCAAGUCCUACUGUCGGAGCCCA